rnacentral:rRNA from 1 species
AUUGAACGCUGGCGGCAGGCCUAACACAUGCAAGUCGAACGAGUGGCGGACGGGUGAGUAAGGUCUGGGAAACUGACCGAUGGAGGGGGAUAACUCCUGGAAACGGUAGCUAAUACCGCAUACAAUCGGAUGUGCCCCGAUGGGAUUAGCUUGUAGGUGAGGUAACGGCUCACCUAGGCGACGAUCUCUAGCUGGUCUGAGAGGAUGACCAGCGACACUUGAACUGAGACACGGUCCAGACUACUACGGGAGGCAGCAGUGGGGAAUAUUGCACAAUGGGCGCAAGCCUGAGGUAGCCAGGCCGCGUGGGUGAAGAAGGACUUCGGGUUGUAAAGUACUUUCAGCGGGGAGGCGUUACCCGCAGAAGAAGCACCGGCUAACUCCGUGCCAGCCGGCGCGGUAAUAC